rnacentral:rRNA from 1 species
GCGGACGGGUGAGUAACACGUGGAUAACCUACCUAUAAGACUGGGAUAACUUCGGGAAACCGGAGCUAAUACCGGAUAAUAUUUUGAACCGCAUGGUUCAAAAGUGAAAGACGGUCUUGCUGUCACUUAUAGAUGGAUCCGCGCUGCAUUAGCUAGUUGGUAAGGUAACGGCUUACCAAGGCAACGAUGCAUAGCCGACCUGAGAGGGUGAUCGGCCACACUGGAACUGAGACACGGUCCAGACUCCUACGGGAGGCAGCAGUAGGGAAUCUUCCGCAAUGGGCGAAAGCCUGACGGAGCAACGCCGCGUGAGUGAUGAAGGUCUUCGGAUCGUAAAACUCUGUUAUUAGGGAAGAACAUAUGUGUAAGUAACUGUGCACAUCUUGACGGUACCUAAUCAGAAAGCCACGGCUAACUACGUGCCAGCAGCCGCGGUAAUACGUAGGUGGCAAGCGUUAUCCGGAAUUAUUGGGCGUAAAGCGCGCGUAGGCG